rnacentral:rRNA from 1 species
UUCCUACGGGAGGCAGCAGUGGGGAAUUUUGGACAAUGGGGGCAACCCUGAUCCAGCCAUGCCGCGUGUGUGAAGAAGGCCUUCGGGUUGUAAAGCACUUUCGGACGGAACGAAAUCGCGCGGGUGAACAUCCCGCGUGGAUGACGGUACCGUAAGAAGAAGCACCGGCUAACUACGUGCCAGCAGCCGCGGUAAUACGUAGGGUGCGAGCGUUAAUCGGAAUUACUGGGCGUAAAGUGUGCGCAGGCGGCCGAGCAAGUCGAGUGUGAAAUCCCCGGGCUUAACUUGGGAAUUGCGCUCGAAACUACUUGGCUCGAGUGUGGCAGAGGAAGGUGGAAUUCCACGUGUAGCGGUGAAAUGCGUAGAGAUGUGGAGGAACACCGAUGGCGAAGGCAGCCUUCUGGGCCAACACUGACGCUCAUGCACGAAAGCGUGGGGAGCAAACAGGAUUAGAUACCCUGGUAGUCCACGCCCUAAACGAUGAUGACUAGUUGUUGGGGGAGUUAAAUCCCUUAGUAACGCAGGUAACGCGUGAAGUCAUCCGCCUGGGGAGUACGGUCGCAAGAUUAAAACUCAAAGGAAUUGACGGGGGCCCGCCCUUUCGGUGGAUGAUGUGGUUUAAUUCGAUGCAACGCGAAAAACCYUUACCUACCCUUGACAUGCCAGGAAUCCCUCCAGAAAUGGAGGAGUGCCCGAAAGGGAACCUGGACACAGGUGCUGCAUGGCUGUCGUCAGCUAGUGUCGUGAGAUGUUGGGUUAAG